UGGAUUUUAGUUUAAAUUAGAAUUUUUGACUGUUAAUCAAAAGGUAUAAGUGGGUUAUAGAUCUAG
rnacentral:tRNA from 1 species